rnacentral:rRNA from 1 species
GCGAGUGAAGCGGGAUGAGCUCAAGCUUAAAAUCUCCGUGCAAAUUUUGCAUGGCGAAUUGUAGUCUAUAGAGGCGUGAUUAGCAUAGGCACUUGGGGCAAGUUCCUUGGAAGAGGACAGCAUCGAGGGUGAUACUCCCGUUUAUCUCCGAGUCGCUUGUGCGUACAAUCCGUUUUCUUUGAGUCGCGUUGUUUGAGAAUGCAGCGCAAAGUAGGUGGUAAAUUCCAUCUAAAGCUAAAUAUUGGUGCGAGACCGAUAGCAAACAAGUACCGUGAGGGAAAGAUGAAAAGAACUUUGAAAAGAGAGUUAAAGAGUACCUGAAACUGCUGAAAGGGAACCAAAUCGUUUCCAGUAUCUAUAAUCCGUGGUAUAUUUCAUUGGCGAAUGUGUGCGUGCGUAUACUAUGGCAGCGGUUUUUGUUGCGCCUUGUGUAUGUGUGCAUUUUCUUGCUGGUGCCCUGUACCGUGGUGGGACGUCAAUGUCGGUUCGUAAACUGCGGGAAAUGACUGCCUAGGAGGUAGGGCGAACGCUUGCGUUUGUCUGUUAUAUCUGGGCGGACGUAGUAGUCGCGGUUGGGACUGAGGUGCCUACAAUGUGCUUAUGAGUGGAAUUGAAUCUCCGUGUGCGCCGUGUGCGGAUAGCUUGCUAUGCGUGUGUGGCUGCGUGUGGAU